rnacentral:rRNA from 1 species
ACAUUCGAUAGAUGUCAGCCUGCCAGUGACUCUGUUCACGGCCGCGGUAUCCUAACCGUGCGAAGGUAGCGUAAUCACUUGUUCUUUAUAUGUGGACUAGUAUGAACGGCAUCACGAAGGUUAUACUGUCUCCUUUUUCUAAUCAGUGAAACUAAUCUCCCCGUGCAGAAGCGAGGAUAAUAAUAUAAGACGAGAAGACCCUAUGGAGA